rnacentral:lncRNA from 1 species
ACCCAGAGAGGUGGCCAGAACUAGACCAAGCGGGUCUUUGGCUUGGAAUCUAGAUCUCAGCACUGAGAAGGAAGUGCCUGCAAAGGCUUUUCCAGGGGGGGUGAAUUGAAGCAGUUCAUCACUGCAACAUGUGAUAAAACUAGCUUCUCCCUUCUUAACUGCUAUCUAAGCCGUUUGUUGUUGGUUAGUUUCUUAUCUAGUUGUGCCUGGUCUCCCUGACUGCUUUAACCGCCCUGGGCGCAGAGACCACUUCGAGAGCCUUUUACCUCGCAGGCCUUCAACAGAUUGCAGUUCACUGAAUCAGUCCCCAAAUGUUUAGGGGCAACCUGCUCUGAGCCAGGCUCAGACCUAGGGGGGAGCCUCGUGGGCCUGCCCUCUCCAACCUCUCCAAGCUCAGGAUCGAGUGGAGAAGCAGACAGGGACCCAGGCAGAGACAAGUCUGGUGGAUAAGGACUGCAAUAGUGGAUGUACAGGGAACUGGGGGAGCUCAGUGGAGGCAGGGGUGGAGAGGAAGGGGAUUCAGAGAGAAGGCUUCUCUCUCAAAGUUAUCCAAGCUGCAGGCAGGAUUCAGGCAGAGGGAGCCUCAGGAGGCCUGGCAGCCAGAGUGGGCAGUGCCCACAGAAAGCUCGAGUACAUCCAUGCUGCUGCACAGUGGCUAAUUGAGAGAGGCAGCAGGGCAAGAGGUGGGCCUAGAAGGCCUGUAGUUACAGCUGAAUCUUUUCCUUUCUAUGUUUCUUUCUUUCUCUUUCUUUUUCUCUUUCUUUUUCUCCUUCUUUUCCUUUUCUUUUUCAGCUGCACCCCUGGCAAAUGGAAGUUCUCCGGCCAAGUAGCCAAUCUGAGCAGCAGCUGCGACCUAUGCCACAGCAGCACCCAUGCUGGAUCCUUAACCCAUGGUGCUACAGCAGGAACUCCUAUAGUAGCUGGAUCUUGCGGAGUCUUGUACACCAGAGUAAGGAAGGAAGCCACUUACACGUUUUGAGCAGGAGAGCAACCCAGAUAGUGUUGCUUUUUGCUCUAAGAAGGCUUGCUCUGACUGUAGGUAGUGUGGACCAGAGAAGAUGGGAAACAUGGGUGAGGGGCCUGUGGUGGUGAUCCGGACGAGAGAUGAUGACAGCAGAACCACAGCACGGAGGGACACCGGGGGGGGUCUGAGAGUCAUUUGAGAGACAGAAUCAAGGGGACUUGGGAAGGAGUUAGGUGGGGACAUGUAUCUGAGAGCCCAGGUUUCUGAUUUCUUUCUGCCUCCCAGCCAUAAAAUGGGUGGCAACCUGUACAUCUCUCCAGUUUGCCCCAUAAUUUCAAAAUCAGAGUUAGCCAGGUAGGAGAAAAAUGAUAACAGCAGCUCCCAGUGUGAUUAUGUAUACCCAUUUACAGCCAGGGAAGUUGAGGCCUGGAGACUUUACAUCACCUAACUAGGGUCUUGACCCUGGAGCACAGGUUCUAGAGUGCUAAGCUGUGCUGCUCACACUGUGUGUGUGUGUGUGUGUGUGUGUUUAGGUGGGGUGUUCUCCUCCCUAAUCCUGGCUGGGCCUGCACCACAGGGGAAGAGCCUGUGGGCUACCUGACCCCAAGAGGGGAUUUCAGAGGAGGGAGCCGGCCGAGGAUGUCCCCAAGGCCUGGCUGGCUUCUCAGCUGUGACUGUGAGUAACCCCAGGCCUCUCCAACAGGAAACAGGGUGGGCCUGGCUGCCAGACAUAGCUCGGGUGGGGUAUUUAUCUCUCUGCAGCCUUUGGGAUGGGAACCCAGGAAGUUCCUCUUCCCCCAUUUCCCAGGGGGGUCCUGGGGAAGGGAGAAAUCUGGGUGCCAGGGCAGGAUGUUGCCAAAUUGGGGGCGAGAGAAGCCUGAGCUAGGAUCCUGGCUCUGCCGCAUAUCGGUAGAAUGGCCUUGGUUCAAGACACUGAGGCUCAGAAGCUCCAGAUGGAGAGGCGGUUCACUGCAAUCGGGCUGGGACCACUUGGCUCAGAGCCAGCAGAACUGGGUCUGAAAUCUGGUAGAUGCAACAUCGACCCCCUGGGUCCCACAAACGUUGGGUGUAGUUUUGCAUGCGUAGGAAGGAAUCCUGAAGGAGACACCCUAAACUUUCCCAUCUCUGAGCCACAGUUUCUUCUCCUAUAAACUGGGAAGAAGAAUAUCAACCUUUCCAGAAUGUCGUGAGGUCUUCAAGAGGCUGUGCCUGCAAAAGGCUCAGGCCUGGAGGGAUGUGGGGUCUGAGUGAACAGUCAGCAGGGGUGUCCAGACCAUCCCCUCCUCACUUCUCCAGCCGGCAACACCCCCCCCCGCCCCCCGACCCCCAGAUUCCCACCCAGAGCUUGUCCACCUCCCUGAAGCCCUGAUUGGACUUAGAAGGAAACCAGUACCUAACAAGGUAAUUCAGACAAGUGGUCUGGAGAAGGAAAUCCAGGGGAACGAGAGAGAGGAUGAUUGGACUUGGGGAGGGGGGGUUUGAUGGAAAAAGGCCCCAAAGAGCAUUAUCUUAGCCCAGAACCACUUAACAAGGGGGCCCCAAGCACAGGGGGCAGAGGCAUAAGCUGGCAUGUUUCUGGGACUCCACGUGCCUGGAGGGAAGUGAGUAGAGGGAGGAGAAAGAGGCAUUGAGGAGUUCUCCUGUGGCGCAGCAGGUUAAGGACCUGGCGUUGUCACUGCGGUGGCUUGGGUCACUUCAGCGGUGUGAGUUUGAUCCCUGGCUUGGGAUCGCAAGGAGCCCACUCACCUGGGCCUUGUGGGCCUGGGAUGAAUUGAGGUUUUAUUCUAAGCCUCAAAGGGGGUUAUAAGCAGGUUGGUGACAAGAUCCAAAAUACCUUUUCGAAAGGUCUUUCUGAUUGAUAUUUGGAGAACAGAUUAUUCAUCAGCAGGCAAGAUCAGAAGCAGGCAGACGGGCGUUCCCGUUGCGGCUCAGCAGAAACAAAUCUGACUAGUAUCCAUGAGGACGCAAGUUCGAUCCCUGGCCUCACUCAGUGGCUUAAGGAACCGGCGUGGCUGUGGCUGUGGUGUAGGCCAGCAGCUACAGUUCUGAUUCAACCCCUAGCCUGGGAACCUCCAUAUGCCAUGGGUGAGGCCCUAAAAAG